rnacentral:rRNA from 1 species
UACAUAGGGGGCGAGCGUUGUCCGGAAUGACUGGGCGUAAAGGGAGUGUAGGCGGUCAUGCAAGUUAUAUGUGAAAGCCCGGGGCUUAACCUCGGAAUUGCAUGUAAAACUGCAUGACUUGAGUGUGGGAGAGGAAAGUGGAAUUCCUAGUGUAGCGGUGGAAUGCGUAGAUAUUAGGAGGAACACCAGUGGCGAAGGCGGCUUUCUGGACCAUAACUGACGCUGAGGCUCGAAAGCGUGGGGAGCAAACAGGAUUAGAUACCCUGGUAGUCCACGCCGUAAACGAUGGAUACUAGACGCAGGAGGUAUCGACUCCUACUGUGUCUGAAGCUAACGCAAUAAGUAUCCCGCCUGGGGAGUACGGCCGCAAGGCUGAA